rnacentral:sRNA from 1 species
GGCAUUAAAAAGAAAUGGGAAAUAUGUAAAUAUACAAGAAGUAAUGGAUCAGUGGACACUCCAGAUGGGUUAUCCUGUUAUCACCAUCUUGGGAAACACAACAGCAGAAAAUAGAAUAAUAAUUACCCAACAGCAUUUUAUCUAUGAUAUCAGUGCUAAAACUAAAGCACUUAAACUUCAGAAUAACAGUUACCUGUGGCAGAUUCCAUUAACUAUUGUGGUAGGAAAUAGAAGCCAUGUGUCUUCAGAAGCAAUUAUUUGGGUGUCUAACAAAUCAGAGCACCACAGAAUAACUUAUUUGGACAAAGGAAGCUGGCUGCUGGGGAACAUCAAUCAAACUGGCUAUUUUAGAGUCAACUAUGACCUAAGGAACUGGAGAUUAUUAAUUGAUCAAUUAAUCCGGAAUCAUGAGGUUCUUUCUGUCAGUAACCGAGCGGGCUUGAUCGAUGAUGCCUUCAGCCUAGCCAGCUUAUACAUUUGAGAUAUAUUAGAAGCCUGGGAAUUCAGCAUAAUAGCCACUGAAAAUAUAAUGGCUAAAGAAGAAGAAAAUUAUGAGAACAUUUCAAAAACUUACAGAUUUUUUUUUUCAUUUCUGAGCCUGGUUUCAGAAAUGGAAACAGCAUUGUUAAAAUAACCUUAACAACAUUUGCAAACUGUGGAAGUAAUUUGCUCCUUUUGGGCCUUUUUUCGGCAUGGUUUUUGUUAGAAGUUCUUUUGUGUCUUCUGGAUGGCUCUCGUACCUCGUUUAAGGUUUCUCUUG